CAGGCUUACGUCGUGGAGGAGGGGUCUCGUCAAUCUGCAGCUCAUCCUCAGACUCCAAGUCAGACAGACUGGAUCCCUCCAUGGCAAGAUGUUUGUACUUUCCAGCACUUCCUGCACCAUUACUACUUCCAUCCUUCUUACUAAAAACAGAUGAUCAGCAGGCAGCUCCAACUGCAGGGACAAAAGAGAAUUGCAAACAAAGAUGAGGAUGAAAACUUUACAAGGAAAAACACGUGGCCAAGCAUUGCAACAUAUCCACAAAAUUCGGAUAACAUUUUACCUUGCUCUCAUUUUUGGAUUUGCCAGGCUGAAAUUUUUUGAGUGUAUGUUUUGUGUGGAUCUCAAUGAGAUCCAGUUCUCCUGCCUCCGCUUUGAGCAGCCCUUUCUGACUUUUUUUCUUGGUUCCAGGGGGGCCAAGACCCCCUAAGACUUCCUUGGGCUUGGGCCCCUUCUUUUUUCCAGGAGGGCGUCCUGAAUUCUGUGAAGCAGUCAGGGGAGCUUUAGAGAGUGGCGAGCCAGGAAACUGAGGUCCAGUACGGCCAAUGUUUUGCUGGAAGAUAUCCUAUGAAUAAAGAAAUGUGAUAUUUGGUCAGUAAAUCUGCAAAAAAACAACAUUUUUAUACACACAAAAAAAAAAAACAUGCAUACAUUUUGAAGAAUUUACCUCAAC